GUAUACUCAGCACGCAUCCUCGCAGGAAACAAAUAACAGCUCCACAGGAGUGGCUAAAAGAGAGGAUUAAGGGCAGGGCACAGAAAGGAGAGAAGCUUUCCAGGGAUGAAGUUACUACUGUUACCAUCACUGACUACAAAUGAAGAAACAGGCUGAGAGAACCACGGCCCUGCCAUGUCCCAAGGCAUUUGGCCUGUCCUGGUAGUGACCUUCCAAAACACAGCCCCCUCAGAGACCAUCAGAACUCAGUCCAAAUGGGGCCUGGAGGAAUUCUCCUGAUAUUAGAGCACCUCAUCCACCCCACACCCUCCGUCAUCGCUCUGGGACCUCGUUGCUGACCCUGGAAGACUGAGCACCACCCAGUAUGAAACUCCCCUCUGGAUGGAUGGCCUCUGGAUUGCCUCCUCACUGCGAGUGGAUGAAGACCUUUAGGAUGACCCACUUCCUCUUCAUCAAUAGAGUGGCUCCUUGGUCCCCACCCUGUCCCUCCUGCUGGAGAUGCUGCAUACAAGGGCAUGAUGUCUGGAGUUCGAGCAUCCAUGUUGCCACCAUGAGGCAAGAAGUAUGAGGACACAAUUUCACUGGGCGGAAGAAUGACAAAGUCUGGAUUCUUGAUAUA